GGACGGACAUCGGACAACCCAGUAACAUCGUCCAUCCGAUGCAUUUGGGGAGGAAAGAAGAGAGAGAGAGAGAGGGAGGGAGGGAGUUAAGGGCCAGGAGACGCCAUGAAGAUUUUCGGGAAGCACGUAUUCCCGCGGCAAAUUGUGCUCUUCAGCUCAGGGCUCCUCUUCUUGGCUGCGACCACCUACGACGUCCACAGAUCCAUCAAGAACAACCAGACUCCCCCUUCGAAGGAACAGCUCCAAGCCCUCGAAGACUACAUCAAAUCCGUCCGCCGACCCCCCUGAAAAGGUUCUUCAGUUCAGACCCCGCUUUGGAUUCGGCCGGCGAUUCAAUUCGAGGCUGUCAAAGUUUUGGUGGGUUUCGAGUUCUUGGGGAAUUCGCACCGAAGAGUUCUUCGCAGUUCAGGGAGAUCCUCUUGGCUUUGUUGAGUUCUGGUUCGCCGAUGCACACGUGUCCUGGCUAAGCCCAUUUUCAGCCACAUGAAGAACUGGGUGUGAUUCGCCUUGUGUAUCUUAACCCUUUGGCUCAAAAUAAAAGGAGGGAUAAGUAAUGAUGAUGGAAAUUACUCCAGAUUGAGGACCAACGCUCAAAUUUUCCAUUUUCUUGUUGUUAAAUCGUAUGUAUAAAGUGAAUUAAACAUAUGAUGCCCUUUUUAUGUAUAUGAGUUUUGUAUAUAAAUGAAGUUGGUUUCUGGAGUAACUUUCAGAUCGAUACAAUUAGGACGAA